rnacentral:lncRNA from 1 species
AUCGUUCCUCCCCAAUCACAUUUUUCAUUCUCACAGAACAUCCUCUCAUUCAUAUUUUAAAGACCUGAGUGAUUCACGUCCAACAUCAGAGAGAAGUGGAAUCCUCAUCUCUAGUCAGGCCUUGGCCAUGCAGUGUCCAGUAUUUCCCUGAGGACCCCUGAUUUCCUGGGCCAUGGACAUCUCUCCAUUGGAGACUUGGCUGAGACCACUGAAUUCAUAUCACAGUGAACCAUUUUAAGAUAUUUCUCUCCACUCCAACGAAACAUCUGAGUGCUCCAACCUGGAAAGACCUUAUAAGAAAACAUUUUCAUAUAGAAAGCAUCUUGGUGACAAGUAUUUUGUGGAGUCGAAUCAAUUAAUAAAGAUUAACCACUCCAUCAAGAGGGAUGCCAUCUUGAAAAGAGGAUGAUCCAUCACAGAAACAUGUGUCAGUCCUCAUGCUCUGCUUUACUUUCCAUGCACUCACCCUCAGAAGAAGGUGUAGAAGCACCCGUCAGCUCUUGGACCACAUGUAGGAUGGGUGGAGCUCCAGAUGGAGGAAGCUCUGUUGCUGUUGGAAAAGAAAGUUUAAAACUGCAGGUAUUGAGGCUCAGAAACUCCAAGCAGAAGAACUCUUAAUUCCCAUAGAUCUGGAUGUCUGAAAUUUCUGUUCAUUCUUAAUGAAGUAGCUCUCCUGAAGCACAGUCCAAACUACAGGUGCAGAAACCUUGAUCUGAUAUUUGACCUGUCAGCACUGAACAAGAAUGAGAAUGUUCAUCAUGUUUCAAGAAUGUUCAUCUUUGAGAUGAAAGUAAAGUACCUCAGCUAGCUGGCCAACACUGAGUAGAGCAAAAGCUUAAUCUAGACAUCCUACCCUGCCAGAAGCUAGCCUAAUACCUUGAAAUACAAGAUUUACUUUAUUACCUUGCAUACUAGAUCCACACUGUAUAAUAAAUGAUCUUUUGAAGUCUUUCA